AGAUACGCGCAGAACCUUACCAACACUUGACAUGUUCGUCGCGACUCUAAGAGAUUAGAGUUUUCGGUUCGGCCGGACGAAACACAGGUGCUGCAUGGCUGUCGUCAGCUCGUGUCGUGAGAUGUUGGGUUAAGUCCCGCAACGAGCGCAACCCUCACUUUUAGUUGCCAUCAUUAAGUUGGGCACUCUGAAAGAACUGCCAGUGAUAAGCUGGAGGAAGGUGGGGAUGACGUCAAGUCCUCAUGGCCCUUACGUGUUGGGCUACACACGUGCUACAAUGGCAUCUACAACAGGAAGCAAAACGGCAACGUUAAGCAAAUCCCGAAAAGAUGCCUCAGUUCGGAUUGCACUCUGCAACUCGAGUGCAUGAAGCUGGAAUUACUAGUAAUCGUGGAUCAGCGUGCCACGGUGAAUGCGUUCCCGGGUCUUGUACACACCGCCCGUCACACCAUNGGGAGUUGGUUCUACCNUAAGGCAAGGUUUNAANC
rnacentral:rRNA from 1 species